CCUACGGGAGGCAGCAGUAGGGAAUCUUCCACAAUGGGCGAAAGCCUGAUGGAGCAACGCCGCGUGGGUGAAGAAGGUCUUCGGAUCGUAAAACCCUGUUGUUAGAGAAGAAAGUGCGUGAGAGUAACUGUUCACGUUUCGACGGUAUCUAACCAGAAAGCCACGGCUAACUACGUGCCAGCAGCCGCGGUAAUACGUAGGUGGCAAGCGUUAUCCGGAUUUUUUGGGCGUAAAGGGAAUGCAGGCUGUCUUUUAAGUCUGAUGUGAAAGCCUUCGGCUUAACCGGAGUAGUGCAUUGGAAACUGGGAGACUUGAGUGCAGAAGAGGAGAGUGGAACUCCAUGUGUAGCGGUGAAAUGCGUAGAUAUAUGGAAGAACACCAGUGGCGAAAGCGGCUCUCUGGUCUGUAACUGACGCUGAGGUUCGAAAGCGUGGGUAGCAAACAGGAUUAGAUACCCCAGUAGUC
rnacentral:rRNA from 1 species